UUGUUCGCUCUUGCACUACGACAUCUAUAUAUAUAUAUAUAUAUAUAUAUAUAUAUAUAUAUAUAUAUAUAUAUAUAUAUAUAUAUAUAUAUAAUAUGCAAGUAGGGUAGGGUAGCUAGCUAUAUAUGUAGGCAGCAUAUGCACUGGGUCCUCCUCGAGUAGUGAGUGAAGUGCAUCGUCACUCACAUAUACACUGCUUGGUGUUUAAGCAGAAUCUGAUGCUCCCAGUGGACCAGAGAGAGAGAAAUGUAUCAUAUAUGGAUGGAAGCAAUGCAGAUGUAUUGGCGCAUUCAGCUUUGAAAUGUUCCUUUCUCUUUGGAUUGGAUCCGUGGAUGGAGCCUUUAAUUUCUUUUUCUCGACAACUUUUUCUCUCUUGUGCAAGCUUUUGUUUUUGUGAGAGUGAUGCCAAGGGACAGUGCUGCUCCUGGCUAGAUGAUGCGAAGGUUUUUUGCUGCCGUGCAGGUGUUUUUACUUCUUUUUAUUCGAUGCCUUUUUUGCUUUCCUUUUUUUUAAAGCUUUUUUACAGUACAUAAUACUAGCCUAUACUAGUGUUCAAAAAGGAUUAGUAUACAAAUAUCUAAC
rnacentral:lncRNA from 1 species